rnacentral:rRNA from 1 species
AUGGCGGAUGCAAGGAUCAAGUUCACGCAACCGGAUGAAGAAACACCUUUUCGACGACACCUGAAGGAAGUCACUAAAUACCUGAACAUCGGAAUACCAAGCUUCACCGGGACCUACAUCGCCAGUUUACCAGAAGAGGAGCAUUGGAUGAUUCAAGUUCAGAUUCCUGGAAGAACAUUCACGCCAGUCACUGAGCCCAUAGAGUUUUCCUUUGAUGCCCCAACCUGGAGUUUAGGAAAGAGCAUGGCAGCCCACAUUGUCAUGGGAUGCAUUGGAGAAGUUUACCACAAGGAUCUCAAGGAUACUAUUUACCAGAAUUGUGGGCGCCGAGAUGAGCAAUGGGAAAUGAUCAGCACUAGGAAGGAUAGAUCGAUUGCCGCUUUCAUCCAGGAGUUAAACCAGCACAUUCGACGCCAGGAGAACCAGAUGUGCGCAGGCAUGAUAGAUCUGAAGAAGGCAAUGACCAAGAUCACGGAGCUGGAAGAAGAACUCAAGUCUACACGCGAUGGAUAUGAGGAGGAAAUGACGAUACUCGUGGAGAAGAAUGAUGAUCUGAAGAAGAAGCUAGGAGUGUUCAUGGGAGACCCCGCGCCAGGAGGAGAAGACGACGAUUCCACUUGCCCGGAGAACUACAUCAUCAUCGACGACAGCGACUCGGACCCUGACGAUAGCGAUGAUGACUAUGUUGGUGAAGCUGGAGCGGAUAUCAUGGAGUCUUCGACCGAUCAAUUUUUCUAG